CAGCAGCCGCGGUAAUACGGAGGGAGCUAGCGUUGUUCGGAAUUACUGGGCGUAAAGCGCGCGUAGGCGGUUAUUUAAGUCAGGGGUGAAAGCCCGGUGCUCAACACCGGAACAGCCCUUGAGACUGGAUAACUUGAAUCCAGGAGAGGUGAGUGGAAUUCCGAGUGUAGAGGUGAAAUUCGUAGAUAUUCGGAAGAACACCAGUGGCGAAGGCGGCUCACUGGACUGGUAUUGACGCUGAGGUGCGAAAGCGUGGGGAGCAAACAGGAUUAGAUACCCGAGUAGUCCCUGUCUCUUAUAC
rnacentral:rRNA from 1 species